CGAUGGCCCACGCAAGUGGGAUCAGGUAAGGGUGAAAGGGUGCGGUAAGAGCGCACCGCGCGGCUGGUAACAGUCCGUGGCACGGUAAACUCCACCCGGAGCAAGGCCAAAUAGGGGUUCAUAAGGUACGGCCCGUACUGAACCCGGGUAGGCUGCUUGAGCCAGUGAGCGAUUGCUGGCCUAGAUGAAUGACUGUCCACGACAGAACCCGGCUUAUCGGUCAGUUUCACUU
rnacentral:RNase_P_RNA from 1 species